rnacentral:tRNA from 2 species
GGCCAGGUAGCUCAGUCGGUAGAGCAGGGGACUGAAAAUCCCCGUGUCGGUGGUUCGAUUCCGCCCCUGGCCACCA